rnacentral:rRNA from 1 species
UACAGAGGUCCCGAGCGUUGUUCGGAUUCAUUGGGCGUAAAGGGUGCGUAGGCGGCGGGGCAAGUCUGAUGUGAAAUCCCGGGGCUCAACCCCGGAACUGCAUUGGAUACUGCCUUGCUAGAGUACUGGAGAGGGAACUGGAAUUUACGGUGUAGCAGUGAAAUGCGUAGAUAUCGAGAGGAACACCUGCGGCGAAGGCGGGUUGCUGGGCUGAUACUGACGCUGAGGCGCGAAAGCCAAGGGAGCGAACGGG